rnacentral:rRNA from 1 species
AGAGUUUGAUCAUGGCUCAGAUUGAACGCUGGCGGCAGGCUUAACACAUGCAAGUCGAGCGGGGAAAUGUAGCUUGCUACAUAACCUAGCGGCGGACGGGUGAGUAAUGCUUAGGAAUCUGCCUAUUAGUGGGGGACAACAUUCCGAAAGGAAUGCUAAUACCGCAUACGUCCUACGGGAGAAAGCAGGGGACCUUCGGGCCUUGCGCUAAUAGAUGAGCCUAAGUCGGAUUAGCUAGUUGGUGGGGUAAAGGCCUACCAAGGCGACGAUCUGUAGCGGGUCUGAGAGGAUGAUCCGCCACACUGGGACUGAGACACGGCCCAGACUCCUACGGGAGGCAGCAGUGGGGAAUAUUGGACAAUGGGGGGAACCCUGAUCCAGCCAUGCCGCGUGUGUGAAGAAGGCCUUUUGGUUGUAAAGCACUUUAAGCGAGGAGGAGGCUACUUAGAUUAAUACUCUAGGAUAGUGGACGUUACUCGCAGAAUAAGCACCGGCUAACUCUGUGCCAGCGGCCGCGGUAAUACAGAGGGUGCGAGCGUUAAUCGGAUUUACUGGGCGUAAAGCGUGCGUAGGCGGCUGAUUAAGUCGGAUGUGAAAUCCCUGAGCUUAACUUAGGAAUUGCAUUCGAUACUGGUCAGCUAGAGUAUGGGAGAGGAUGGUAGAAUUC